GAUUUAGCUGCCCUUAUCUCCUGAGGUGGGAAGCUUGCCAGCCUCACUGCAGCUCUCUGACAUGGGUGAGAAAUCCUCACUGGAUUCCAGUCUGUUGCCUAAUGAAUAAGGAGAGCAUGGAAGGAGCAGACAUCUGGAUUGCCUGUGACCAGGACAAUGCGCAUGGAGUCCUUGCUGCAGGGACUCCUGCAGGGUCUGGGGGCCGCUCAUCUGGAGCUGCACAGUUGUACAUGGAGUGGUUGGUGACUUCAGCUGCUGCGUAGUGAGCAAAUGCAUUGCCCCCUGCUUCCUUCUAGGUCAAAAAUGAAAAGAUAGCUAAUUAAAUCAUGCUUUUAAUGCUAUUUGAAUUAUAAAACAAAA